rnacentral:rRNA from 1 species
GACGAACGCUGGCGGCGUGCUUAACACAUGCAAGUCGAGCGGUAAGGCCCUUUCGGGGGUACACGAGCGGCGAACGGGUGAGUAACACGUGGGUGACCUGCCUUUAGCUCUGGGAUAAGCCUGGGAAACUGGGUCUAAUACCGGAUAUGACUCCGCGGUGCAUGCUGUGGGGUGGAAAGCCUUGUGCGGCUGGAGAUGGGCCCGCGGCCUAUCAGCUUGUUGGUGGGGUGAUGGCCUACCAAGGCGACGACGGGUAGCCGGCCUGAGAGGGCGACCGGCCACACUGGGACUGAGACACGGCCCAGACUCCUACGGGAGGCAGGCAGUGGGGAAUCUUGCGCAAUGGGCGAAAGCCUG